rnacentral:lncRNA from 1 species
UUGGUUUCGGACCCCUUCCCCAAGGGCCACGAAAUUCCCCCUCUUCCCCCAUAUAUACAGCCCUUAGGGCGUCGUUUAGACUUUGGGUUUUGUUUAGAUUAAAAGUUCGCCAUAGCUGCAACUUCGCGUACUUCGUUUGUGUUCAACGACCAGACAAAGGCGUCACAGAACCCCACCUUGAUCAAUAAAGCUUUCAUCUUAUAUUCGCAAUAUCCAUAUUGCAAUGUCAGUUUCUUGCUUGUUCUUCGUUUGCUCGCAGUGAACAGACCCUCGUGGUCAGGUUGAUCGUGCUCCGGCGUGGUCAAUAACCUCUCGGAGUUGGUUUAGCGAUUGCUGAGGCGCGACGUCAUCGCACGUCCGUAGUCGGAUCGUCAAAGUCAACUUCCACCAAAGCGAUAUCCAUCAUCUCAUCGAAAGACGGGACACCUUUGCCUCUAUCAAGUGGUAUCAGAUUUCCAGGUUGCUCGGUGAGAUUUUACAGUUUUUCGUAGUUUAGAUCGAGUCUGUUCUUCAUACCUACAGUCCACGAAAAAGCCACAAAAAAAUUAGGGUUAGUUCAGUAUAUCCGAACCAAUCUGAGCCUUUGCAUAAUCUUUUUAGGGUUUUUGCUUUGUUGAAUUUGCGGUUGCAUCGUUGUGUCAAGUUGCUGGUCUUAGAGUCUAGUCUUUUAGAGUUUCGAGUUCUGGUCAUAAGUUGUCAUGCCGCCGCCGCACCAUCAUCAUCGCCUUGCCAUCUACCACUAUUGCUUAUCCGCCACCGCUCUGAAUCCGUAUCCAUAUACCACCACCAAUCCGUAUCCAUAUACCACCACCGAUCCAUAUCCAUAUAUCACCACCGCUACCAUAUACCACCACCGCUGCCAUAUCCUAGCACCAUAUAUCCACCACCAAUCCGAGUUCUUGUCAUAUUCAGUUUGUUUUAGAGAUCCAUCUAUUUUCCGUUUCGUGUUUCCUUGCCUGAGUAGGUCUCGGAAAAAAGAGUCUGGAGACCCCCGAGCAGUUUUUAGGCCAAAAUUUUGGCAACCAAAAAUAUUUUUUCCCUAUCCUAUUUUUAGGUCCCGGGGAGUGUUUUGAGACACUCGCCAUCAUAGUGAUUUUUUGUCGCACUUUUUCAUCGUCGCUGCCCUGAUUUCCGAAAAAAUAGUCAAAAAAAUUUGUGCCCAUCCUGUCAGUUUGACCUGGGAAGAGUUUUGAGAUACUCACCAUUAUAGUGAUUUUUCGCAAAAAAAGAGCAAAAAAAAUUCCAGAGUGUGCUUUUCCCUUGUUUACGUGCAGCGCCGUGAUUUUGUUAGUGUUCUAGGCUCGCGUCUCUAGCACGGUCUAGCCUAGGACCAGCACAGUACCGUCGUUGAGCGUUUCUUCAACUUUGCAUCUCUGAAUUGAUUAUUGCUGACCAUUUUUGCUACCAUAUUAUAAGCCUUCCCAGCUCCACAUACAUCUACAUCGUGCGUUUGACUCUCCCUGGUAAUCGCUCUAUCCAAGCUUUGAGAGUUUUGACUACAACGGUUGCCGAUCACCACCUGCUGCUGGGUAAGAACUGGUAAGAAUUUGAGAUUCGCUUGAAGGUUUUGUGACACACCACCAUCACCACCACUUCCUAGUAGUCUGCAGGAUCAUAUUCUUUUGUGUUUCUAUUGCUGCUAACUAUGGCAGGAUCACAAGCCGAUGAGACUGAUUAGGAGAACAUGAUGAACAAGGAGUUGCAUGAUAAAUUUCAGCAAAUGAUGAGUGGCCAGGUGGGAGAUGUGCUAAACAGAUUUGAAGAGGCUCUGGAGAAGAUAGAUGUCGUGGAGAAGUCGUUCGAGACAAAGCUGGAUAACAAGUUUACUGAAUUACUCAAGCGUCUUCCCCAACCACCACCGGCUGCACAUGUCGCACCUCUACAACAACAACAACCACAUCUCCAACGCCGCCUUCCAAAUCAAGUGGGACGAGCACAACGCGUUCCAAUUGAGACUGGUCAAAAUUCGGGUGCCGCUGCACCUACUGUUGAUGCUUCUUUGGCGCCUGCUACUACGGCGGCUGAGGAGGAUGACGAUUAUGCGGGUGAUUAUGAGGAUGAGGUUGAUCAAAAUCAGAACUACGUGCAGCCACCAGCACCACCACCAGCAGGUCGACCUCAGGUAUAUAUUCGCAACGGUAGGCCGGCACCACCACCUCAGGUACGAGAUCAUGACCAUCUCCCUAAACUGAAAUUGAAUGUUCCACCAUUUGAGGGUAGAUAUGUUCCUGAUAUAUAUCUUACUUGGGAGUUAGAAACUGAACAACGAUUUACAUGUUUACAAUAUCCUGAGGAGAGACAUGUUCCUGCUGCUGUUUGUGCUUUCACUAGCUUUGCAUGUGUUUGGUGGUCUGAACAUUGUAGAUUAUAUCCUGUUCCAGCUACUUGGGCUGCUUUGAAAACCGCUAUGCGUACUCGUUGAGUUCCACCAUAUUAUCAACGUGAAUUACUUCAAAAAUUGCAGCGCUUAAGACAAGGGAAAAAUUCUGUAGAAGAAUAUUAUCAGGAAUUACAAACUGGCAUGAUUAGAUGUGGUAUUGUUGAGGAGAAUGAAGCUAUGCUUGCACGUUUUAUGGAUGGAUUAAAUAAAGAGAUUUAGACCAUUCUAGAGUAUAAGGAUUAUAAUAAUAUCAUUCAUUUAUUCCAUCUUGCUUGUAAAGCUGAACGUGAAGUGCAGGAUCGACAGCCAUUGGCGCGAACUAACUUUUCUGCAGGUCGACCUUCAUCAUGGACACCGCGUGCAUCUUCUACUUCCACUGCACCAGCACCUCCAUCAGGUUCCACCUCCAGCCGUGAUACAAGAAAGCAGGCACAACCACCACUAUCUGCCAAGAGCGCACCUGUCGGGCCUGCACAGAGCUCUUCUUCUUCCAUGGCAUCGACAGGGCACACAAGUGAUAUUAUUUGUCGUCGUUGUAAGGGAAGAGGACAUUAUGCGAGAGAAUACAAAUCUCAGCGUGUAAUGAUUGCUACUGAGGAUGGUGGGUAUGAGUCCGCUAGUGACUAUGAUGAGGAGACUUUGGCUCUUAUUACACGUGAAGAACAUGGUGGAGAUGAUUCUGAAAAUGAGACGCAAUACAUGGCUCCAGAAGACGCUGACAGGUAUGAAUGUUUAGUUGCUCAGCGUGUUUUGAGUGUGCAGGUCACACAAGCAGAGCAAAAUCAGAGGCAUAAUUUGUUCCAUACAAAGGGAGUUGUGAAGGAACGUUCUGUUCGCGUCAUCAUAGAUGGAGGGAGCUGUAACAACUUGGCUAGCAUGGAGAUGGUGGAGAAGCUAUCUCUCACCACAAGACCACAUCCACAUCCUUACUACAUACAAUGGUUCAACAACAGCGGCAAGGUUAAGGUAACACGUACUGUUCGUGUGCAUUUUAGUAUCUCUACAUAUGCUGAUUAUGUUGAUUGUGAUGUGGUACCCAUGCAAGCAUGUUCCUUAUUACUUGGUAGACCAUGGCAAUUUGAUAAAAAUUCUAUACACCAUGGUAGAAACAAUCAGUAUACUCUUGUUCAUAAGGAUAAAAAUAUUAAUUUGCUUCCUAUGACUCCUGAUUCCAUUUUGAAAGAUGACAUUAAUAGAGCUAAUAAAGCAAAACAGGAGAAAAAUAAGAGUGAAAAUCAGAUUGUGGCAAAAGAAUUUGAGCAACAAAUGAAACCUAAUAAUAAACCAUCUAGUGUUGUUUCUGAAAUUAAAUUGAAAAGUGCAUGUUUACUUGCCACAAAAUCUGAUAUUGAUGAGCUAGAUUUCAGCAAAUCUGUUUGCUAUGCUUUUAUGUGCAAAGAGGCAUUAUUUUCAUUCGAGGACGUGCCUUCCUCUUUGCCCCUGCUGUCACUAACAUUUUGCAGGAGUUCGCUGACGUCUUCCCACAAGACGUGCCACCAGGAUUACCACCUAUUCAAGGGAUUGAGCAUCAAAUUGACUUAAUUCCCGGUGCAUCGCUACCCAACCGUGCACCAUACCGUACCAAUCCAGAGGAGACGAAGGAGAUUAUGCGUCAAGUACAGGAGCUGCUGGACAAAGGUUAUAUACGCGAAUCUCUUAGUCCUUGUGCUGUUCCUAUUAUACUAGUGCCUAAAAAGGAUGGUACGUCGCGUAUGUGUGUUGAUUGUAGAGGCAUUAAUAAUAUUAUUAUUCGUUAUCGUCAUCCUAUUCCUAGGCUAGAUGAUAUGCUUGAUGAAUUGAGUGGCUCUACAAUAUUCUCCAAAAUUGAUUUGCGUAGUGGAUACCAUCAAAUUCGUAUGAAAUUGGGAGAUGAAUGGAAAACUGCAUUUAAAAAUAAGUUUGGUUUAUAUGAGUGGUUAGUCAUGCCUUUUGGGUUAACUAAUGCACCUAGUACUUUCAUGAGACUAAUGAACGAAGUUUUACGUGCUUUUAUUGGACGAUUUGUGGUAGUCUAUUUUGAUGAUAUACUGAUUUAUAGCAAAUCUUUGGAAGAACAUUUGGAACAUUUACGUGCUGUUUUUAUUGCUCUACGUGAUGCACGUUUGUUUGGUAACCUUGGGAAGUGCACCUUUUGCAUCGACCGAGUAUCUUUUCUUGGCUAUGUUGUUACUCCACAGGGAAUUGAAGUUGAUAAAGCCAAGAUUGAAGCUAUUGAGAGUUGGCCGCAGCCCAAAACGGUCACACAAGUGAGGAGUUUCCUUGGCCUCGCUGGUUUCUAUAGGCGUUUUGUGAGAGAUUUCAGCACCAUUGCUGCACCUCUCAACGAGCUUACAAAGAAGGAUGUGCCUUUUGUUUGGGGUACCGCACAGGAAGAAGCCUUCACGGUAUUGAAAGAUAAGUUGACACAUGCUCCUUUACUCCAACUUCCUGAUUUUAAUAAGACUUUUGAGCUUGAAUGUGAUGCUAGUGGAAUUGGAUUAGGAGGUGUGUUAUUACAAGAUGGUAAACCUGUUGCAUACUUUUCUGAAAAAUUGAGUGGGCCUAGUCUGAAUUAUUCUACUUAUGAUAAAGAACUAUAUGUUCUUGUUCGGACUUUAGAAACAUGGCAACAUUAUUUAUGGCCCAAAGAAUUUGUUAUACAUUCUGAUCAUGAAUCUUUGAAACAUAUUAAAAGUCAAGCUAAACUGAAUCGUAGACAUGCUAAAUGGGUUGAAUUCAUUGAAACUUUCCCUUAUGUCAUUAAACACAAGAAGGGUAAAGAAAAUGUUAUUGCUGAUGCAUUGUCUCGUCGCUAUACUAUGCUUUCACAACUUGACUUCAAAAUAUUUGGUUUGGAGACCAUCAAAGAUCAAUAUGUGCAUGAUGCUGAUUUUAAAGAUGUAUUGCAGAAUUGUAAAGAAGGAAGAACCUGGAACAAGUUGGUCGUUAAUGAUGGAUUUGUGUUCCGUGCUAACAAGCUAUGCAUUCCAGCUAGCUCUCUUCGUCUUUUGUUGUUGCAGGAGGCGCAUGGAGGAGGAUUAAUGGGACACUUUGGCGUGAAGAAGACGGAGGACGUACUUGCUACACAUUUCUUUUGGCCAAAGAUGAGACGGGAUGUUGAGCGUUUUGUUGCUCGCUGCACUACAUGUCAAAAAGCUAAGUCACGACUCAAUCCUCAUGGUUUAUAUAUGCCUUUGCCUGUACCUAGUGUUCCUUGGGAGGAUAUUUCUAUGGACUUUGUUUUAGGUUUACCUCGAACAAAGAAGGGGAGGGAUAGCAUAUUUGUUGUCGUGGAUAGAUUCUCGAAAAUGGCACACUUUAUACCAUGUCAUAAAAGCGAUGAUGCUGUUAAUGUUGCUGAUUUGUUCUUUCGUGAAAUUAUUCGCUUGCAUGGUGUGCCAAAUACUAUUGUUUCAGAUCGUGAUACUAAAUUUCUUAGCCACUUUUGUAGAUGUUUAUGGGCUAAGUUGGGGACUAAACUGCUUUUUAGUACUACUUGUCACCCCCAAACUGAUGGACAAACUGAAGUAGUCAAUAGAACGUUGUCUACUAUGCUUAGGGCUGUUUUGAAGAAUAAUAAGAAAAUGUGGGAGGAAUGCUUGCCUCAUAUUGAAUUUGCUUAUAAUCGUUCAUUGCAUUCUACUACUAAGAUGUGCCCUUUUGAAGUUGUGUAUGGUUUCCUACCUCGUGCACCUAUUGAUUUGUUGCCUCUUCCAUCUUCGGAGAAGGUUAAUUUUGAUGCUAAACAACGUGCUGAAUUGAUUUUAAAAAUGCAUGAGUUAACUAAGGAAAACAUUGAGCGCAUGAAUGCUAAAUAUAAACUUGCUGGAGAUAAGGGUAGAAAACAUGUUGUGUUUGCACCUGGAGAUCUUGUUUGGUUACAUUUGCCUGCUGUCACUAACAUUUUGCAGGAGUUCGCUGACGUCUUUCCACAAGACGUGCCACCGGGAUUACCGCCUAUUCGAGGGAUUGAGCAUCAGAUUGACUUAAUUCCCGGUGCUUCACUGCCAAACCGUGCACCAUACCGUACCAAUCCAGAGGAGACGAAGGAGAUUAUGCGCCAAGUACAAGAGCUUCUCGACAAAGGUUAUAUACGCGAAUCCCUUAGUCCUUGUGCUGUUCCUAUUAUUCUAGUGCCGAAAAAGGAUGGUACAUCACGUAUGUGUGUUGAUUGUAGAGGCAUUAAUAAUAUUAAUAUUCGUUAUCGUCAUCCUAUUCCUAGGCUAGAUGAUAUGCUUGAUGAAUUGAGUGGCUCUACAAUAUUCUCCAAAGUUGAUUUGCGUAGUGGCUACCAUCAAAUUCGUAUGAAAUUGGGAGAUGAAUGGAAAACAGCAUUUAAAACUAAGUUUGGAUUAUAUGAGUGGUUAGUCAUGCCUUUUGGGUUAACUAAUGCACCUAGUACUUUCAUGAGAUUAAUGAACGAAGUUUUACGUGCUUUCAUUGGACGAUUUGUGGUAGUUUACUUUGAUGACAUACUGAUUUAUAGCAGAUCUUUGGAAGAAAAUUUGGAACAUUUACGUGCUGUUUUUAUUGCUCUACGUGAUGCACGUUUGUUUGGUAACCUUGGGAAGUGCACCUUUUGCACCGACCGAGUAUCUUUUCUUGGCUAUGUUGUUACUCCACAGGGAAUUGAAGUUGACAAAGCCAAGAUUGAAGCUAUUGAGAGUUGGCCGCAGCCCAAAAUGGUCACACAAGUGAGGAGUUUUCUUGGCCUCGCUGGAUUCUAUAGGCGUUUUGUGAGAGAUUUCAGCACCAUUGCUGCACCUCUCAACGAGCUUACAAAGAAGGAUGUGCCUUUUGUUUGGGGUACCGCACAGGAAGAAGCCUUCACGGUAUUGAAAGAUAAGUUGACACAUGCUCCUUUACUCCAACUUCCUGAUUUUAAUAAGACUUUUGAGCUUGAAUGUGAUGCUAGUGGAAUUGGAUUAGGAGGUGUGUUAUUACAAGAUGGUAAACCUGUUGCAUACUUUUCUGAAAAAUUGAGUGGGCCUAGUCUGAACUAUUCUACUUAUGAUAAAGAACUAUAUGCUCUUGUUCGGACUUUAGAAACAUGGCAACAUUAUUUAUGGCCCAAAGAAUUUGUUAUACAUUCUGAUCAUGAAUCUUUGAAACAUAUUAAAAGUCAAGCUAAACUGAAUCGUAGACAUGCUAAAUGGGUUGAAUUCAUUGAAACUUUCCCUUAUGUCAUUAAACACAAGAAGGGUAAAGAAAAUGUUAUUGCUGAUGCAUUGUCUCGUCGCUAUACUAUGCUGUCACAACUUGACUUCAAAAUAUUUGGUUUGGAGACCAUCAAAGAUCAAUAUGUGCAUGAUGCUGAUUUUAAAGAUGUUUUGCAGAAUUGUAAAGAAGGAAGAACCUGGAACAAGUUUGUCGUUAAUGAUGGAUUUGUGUUCCGUGCUAACAAGCUAUGCAUUCCAGCUAGCUCUCUUCGUCUUUUAUUGUUGCAGGAGGCGCAUGGAGGAGGAUUAAUGGGACACUUUGGCGUGAAGAAGACGGAGGACGUACUUGCUACACAUUUCUUUUGGCCAAAGAUGAGACAGGAUGUUGAGCGUUUUGUUGCUCGCUGCACUACAUGUCAAAAAGCUAAGUCAUGACUCAAUCCUCAUGGUUUAUAUAUGCCUUUGCCUGUACCUAGUGUUCCUUGGGAGGAUAUAUCCAUGGACUUUGUUUUAGGUUUACCUCGAACAAAGAAAGGGAGGGAUAGCAUAUUUGUUGUCGUGGAUAGAUUCUCAAAAAUGGCACACUUUAUACCAUGUCAUAAAAGCGAUGAUGCUGUUAAUGUUGCUGAUUUGUUCUUCUGUGAAAUUAUUCGUUUGCAUGGUGUGCCAAAUACUAUUGUUUCAGAUUGUGAAACUAAAUUUCUUAGCCACUUUUGGAGAUGUUUAUGGGCUAAGUUGGGGACUAAACUGCUUUUUAGUACUACUUGUCACCCCCAAACUGAUGGACAAACUGAAGUAGUCAAUAGAACAUUGUCUACUAUGCUUAGGGCUGUUUUGAAGAAUAAUAAGAAAAUGUGGGAAGAAUGCUUGCCUCAUAUUGAGUUUGCUUAUAAUCGUUCAUUGCAUUCUACUACUAAGAUGUGCCCUUUUGAAAUUGUGUAUGGUUUCCUACCUCGUGCACCUAUUGAUUUGUUGCCUCUUCCAUCUUCGGAGAAGGUUAAUUUUGAUGCUAAACAACGUGCUGAAUUGAUCUUAAAAAUGCAUGAGUUAACUAAGGAAAACAUUGAGCGUAUGAAUGCUAAAUAUAAACGUGCUAAAUGCAUGAGUUAACUAAGGAAAAUAACGUGCUGAAUUUCAAGAAGGGGAGGAUGAUGAGGACAUCAAUACCAUUGUUACACCCACAGCCCCUGCUGCUAUACAUACUGGACCAAUUACUAGAGCUCGCGCACGCCAAUUAAAUUACCAGGUACUUUCGUUUCUUGGUAAUGAUUCUAAUGUUCAUGAGAAUAUGAUGCUGCCUAAAUUGGAUACAUUUGUUUUGCUUACAAAUGAAGGGCCUAGCUUUUAGAAGGAUGAACAUUGGAGCAAGAACAAGCAUGGAGAUGAUGGCAUGCGCAUGGGGAACAAGAACGGAGUUACAAGUGAUGAUUUCAGGACGUUGAAGCCACCAUAAUGCGUGCAUGAAGCCUUGGACGAAAUAUACAAGAUGCUACUUCAUAACUUUCGUCCAGAGGCUAUUCUAGGUGCUGCGUCACCUUAUUAUUGGGCCAGGCCCAUGUAAUUUCGAAAUACUUGAGUAUAGGCUGUUUUUAGAGUCCGUAUGUGUGGGGAAACAAGAGAUAGGGUUGGUUUCGGACCCCUUCCCCAAGGGCCACGAAAUUCCCCCAUCUUCCUCCAUAUAUACAGCCCUUAGGGCGUCGUUUAGACUUUGGGUUUUGUUUAGAUUAAAAGUUCGCCAUAGCUGCAACUUCGCGUACUUCGUUUGUGUUCAACGACCAGACAAAGGCGUCACAGAACCCCACCUUGAUCAAUAAAGCUUUCAUCUUAUAUUCGCAAUGUCCAGAUUGCAAUCUCAGUUUCUUGCUUGUUCUUCGUUUGCUCGCAGGAAACAGACCCUCGUGGUCAGGUUGAUCAUGC